CCGAGCUCGGGCUGGAGGGAGGCUUCGGGCGCGGCGCCGGCGGACGGUCUCGCCGGCUCAGCCCCUCGCCUCCGCGUCGUGUCCCCGCCGCGCCCAUGGCCUUCCUUGCUCCAGUGGCCGCAGGGCUGGGGGCCCGAGCGGCGAGGCCGGUGGGCGCGGGCAGGGCGGUGAGGGGAGGCCGCGGAGCACGGCGCGGUGCACGUCGGGGAUUCCGGGCUUCCGGGAGGGCCGGAGGGGCCGCGGGAGCGUUGGGCCUGCGUGCCGGAAGGGCCCGCGCCUUACGUCCCACUGGGCUUGUAUGAAACGGAAGGCAGAGAUUCCAGCUUUCCGCUUGGCCCUCAUCCAGCUUCAAGUUUCUUCCGUCAAAUCAGAUAACCUCACUCGAGCCUGUGGCCUUAUCUGGGAGGCAGCAAAGCAAGGAGCCAAAAUAGUUUCUCUGCCAGAAUGCUUUAAUUCUCCAUAUGGUACGAAAUAUUUUCCUGAAUAUGCAGAGAAAAUUCCUGGUGACUCCACACAGAAGCUUUCUGAAGUAGCAAAGAAGUGCAGCAUAUAUGUCAUUGGAGGUUCCAUUCCUGAAGAGGAUGCUGGGAAAUUAUAUAAUACCUGUGCCGUGUUUGGGCCCGAUGGAACUUUACUGGUAAAGCACAGAAAGCUCCAUCUGUUUGACAUUGAUGUUCCUGGGAAAAUCACAUUUCAAGAAUCUAAAACGUUGAGUCCUGGUGAUAGUUUCUCCACAUUUGAUACUCCUUACUGCAGAGUGGGCCUGGGCAUCUGCUACGACAUCCGCUUUGCAGAGCUGGCACAAAUCUAUGCACAGAGAGGCUGCCAGCUGUUGGUAUAUCCUGCAGCUUUUAAUUUGACCACCGGACCAGCCCACUGGGAGUUGCUUCAGCGAGGCCGCGCUGUUGAUAAUCAGGUGUACGUGGCCACGGCAUCUCCUGCCCGGGAUGACAAAGCCUCCUAUGUUGCCUGGGGACACAGCACCGUUGUGAGUCCUUGGGGGGAGGUCCUUGUCAAAGCUGGCACUGAAGAAAUGAUCGUGUAUUCAGACAUAGACCUGAAGAAGUUGGCUGAAAUACGCCAGCAAAUCCCCAUUUUUAGCCAGAAGCGCUCAGACCUCUAUGCAGUGGAGGCGAAAAAGCCCUAAUGUUUAUGUUUCCAACGUGUCAUGAAACAGGAAGAUAUGUUUCUACAACAUAAUCAACUCCCUUCUGAAUUCUUUAAUGGAGAUUCUUUUUUGUUUUUUUUUAAUUUCAGCCUUUUCCCUUCCUGGAUAGGGAAGCUCUCUGUUGAGAUGGUGGAGCAUCAACUGAUGCUGGUAUUCUCCACACCAUAUUAAAUAGUCAAAAAGGACUCAGGCUGGCAUAGACGAGCAGAAGGCAAGGGAAUGGCUGCUCUGGAUGUGCAGGUUCAGCGGCCAUGGCUCACGGGCCCAGCUGCUCCACGGCAUGUGGGAUCUUCCCGGACCGGGGCACGAACCCGUGUCCCCUGCAUCGGCAGGCGGACUCUCAACCACUGCGCCACCAGGGAAGCCCAGUCUUCAUUUUCUUAAACGUAUUAUUUAAAAAGUAAAAGUUUUAAAUUUUCAUGAAGGCCAAUUAAUUGCUUUUUUUAAAUACAGUUUGUCAUGAAUUUAGGUCUAUGACCCAUUUUAUUUUAUUUUUUAAUUUUUAUUUUAUAUUGGAGUAUAGUUGAUUUACAAUGUUGUGUUAGUUUCAGGUGUACAGCAAAGUGAUUCAGUUAUACAUAUACAUACAUAUAACUAUUCUUUUUCAGAUUCUUUUCCCACGUAGAUUACAGAGUAUUGAGUAGAGUUCCUUGUGUUAAAUAGUAGGUCCUUGUUGAUUGUCUUUUAUAUAUGGCAGUGUGUAUAUGUUAAUCCCAACUUCCUAAUUUAUCCCCCCCACCACCUUUCCCUUUUGGUAACCAUAAGUUUGUCUUCUGUGAGUCUGUUUCUGUUUUGUAAGUUCAUUUGUAUCAUGUUUUUUAGAUUCCACAUAUAAGUGAUAUCAUAUGAUAUUUGUCUUUGGCUGACUUAACUUAGUAUGAUAAUCUCUAGGUCCAUCCACGUUGCUGCAAAUGCCAUUAAUUACUUCAUUCUUUUUUAUGGUUGAUAUUGCAUUGUGUAUAUUUACUACAUCUUUAUCCAUUCAUCUGUC